UAGUUGUGUGGGUGCAUGUACGCAUGAUCUUUUUGAUGCGGUACGUGUUGGCGUGUGAGUGGUGUUUGGUUUGUGUGGUUGACGGGCUCUAUGCUUGUGCAUUGAACCGUUCACUAGCAUGCCUCUUCAUUGUUUGCUUCAAGUGCAUCGUGUGCCUUGGGCAACGUGUGGUCCCUAUGUUGGAUUCCUAUUGACGGUAUCAUUGUUGUCCCUCUAAAGAUUGAUUUUCGUUCGACAUUCGUAAUAGGAGGUCGAGCGGACUGUUAAACUUGGCUCGUUAUCCACCCUGUCAAGCGAAACCAAGCACGAUAGGAUUGGAUUGCGAUCUCAAGUUGGGCCCUUGGAUGCAGAAA
rnacentral:misc_RNA from 1 species